UACGUAGGGGGCAAGCGUUAUCCGGAUUUACUGGGUGUAAAGGGAGCGUAGACGGCAGCGCAAGUCUGGAGUGAAAUGCCGGGGCCCAACCCCGGAACUGCUUUGGAAACUGUGCAGCUCGAGUGCAGGAGAGGUAAGCGGAAUUCCUAGUGUAGCGGUGAAAUGCGUAGAUAUUAGGAGGAACACCAGUGGCGAAGGCGGCUUACUGGACUGUAACUGACGUUGAGGCUCGAGAGCGUGGGGAGCAAACAGG
rnacentral:rRNA from 1 species